rnacentral:rRNA from 1 species
CGAGGCGAACCGGGGAAACUGAAACAUCUCAGUACCCCGAGAAAAAGAAAUCAACCGAGAUUCCCCCAGUAGCGGCGAGCAAACGGGGAGCAGCCCAGAGUCAACAUCAAUAUUUACCACAGGAGAAGGGUCUGGAAAAGCCGGCAAUAAAGGGUGAUAGCCCCGUAUCUAAAGCGGUAAGUGUUGUGAACUCGAAGAGUAGGGCGGGACACGUGUUAUCCUGUCUGAAUAUGGGGGGACCAUCCUCCAAGGCUAAAUACUCCUGACUGACCGAUAGUGAACCAGUACCGUGAGGGAAAGGCGAAAAGAACCCCGGCGAGGGGAGCGAAAUAGAACCUAAAACCGUGUACGUACAAGCAGUAGGAGCACCCGAAAGGGUGUGACUGCGUACCUUUUGUAUAAUGAGUCAGCGACUUAUAUUCUGUAGCAAGGUUAACCGCAUAGGGGAGCCGUAGGGAAACCGAGUCUUAACUGGGCGUUAAGUUGCAGGGUAUAGACCCGAAACCCGGUGAUCUAGCCAUAAGCAGGUUGAAG